UGGGGAAUCUUGGACAAUGGGGGAAACCCUGAUCCAGCGAUGCCGCGUGAAUGAAGAAGGCCCUUGGGUUGUAAAGUUCUUUCACCUGUGACGAUAAUGACGGUAACAGGAGAAGAAGCCCCGGCUAACUCCGUGCCAGCAGCCGCGGUAAGACGGAGGGGGCUAGCGUUGUUCGGAAUGACUGGGCGUAAAGGGCGCGUAGGCGGUCGAUCAAGUCAGGCGUGAAAGCCUCGGGCUUAACCUGAGAAUUGCGCUUGAUACUGGUUGACUUGAGAACGAGAGAGGAAAGUGGAAUUCCGAGUGUAGAGGUGAAAUUCGUAGAUAUUCGGAGGAACAUCAGAGGCGAAGGCGGCUUUCUGGCUCGUUACUGACGCUGAGGCGCGAAAGCGUGGGGAGCAAACAG
rnacentral:rRNA from 1 species